rnacentral:rRNA from 1 species
AGUGAACGCUGGCGGUAGGCCUAACACAUGCAAGUCGAACGGCAGCACAGGAGAGCUUGCUCUCUGGGUGGCGAGUGGCGGACGGGUGAGGAAUACAUCGGAAUCUACUCUGUCGUGGGGGAUAACGUAGGGAAACUUACGCUAAUACCGCAUACGGCCUACGGGUGAAAGCAGGGGAUCUUCGGACCUUGCGCGAUUGAAUGAGCCGAUGUCGGAUUGGCUAGUUGGCGGGGUAAAGGCUCACCAAGGCGACGAUCCGUAGCUGGUCUGAGAGGAUGAUCAGCCACACUGGAACUGAGACACGGUCCAGACUCCUACGGGAGGCAGCAGUGGGGAAUAUUGGACAAUGGGCGCAAGCCUGAUCCAGCCAUACCGCGUGGGUGAAGAAGGCCUUCGGGUUGUAAAGCCCUUUUGUUGGGAAAGAAAUCCAGCUGGCUAAUACCCGGUUGGGAUGACGGUACCCAAAGAAUAAGCACCGGCUAACUUCGUGCCAGCAGCCGCGGUAA